AAAAAAAAAAAGAGGCUGAACCUGCCUGCCUGUUUUCUUCCUCUCUCACCAUGUGAUCUCUUCACACUGCUCUCCUUAGCCUUCCCCCAUGAGCAGAAGUAGCUUGAGGCUGUCAUCAGAUGAAGAUGCUCAAGGUUUCUGGCCACCAUGAGAAUUGUGAGCCAAAUAAACUCUUUUUCUUUUAAAAAGAAAGAAAAAAAGAAAACACCUUUUAAAUCUCCAAUUAUAUUUGAGGCUUAUAUUAUCAUUAACUCCCCAAAGCACUAAAUCUUAGUCCUGAGAAUGUAGGAAACCUUAUAGUUUAGAAGAUACUCCUUGAGAAGAGCAACUCCAAGACACAUAAUUAUAUUCUUAUUUUAAAUACUUAUAUAAGUAAAU
rnacentral:lncRNA from 1 species